GAUGAAGAACGCAGCAAAAUGCGAUAAGUAAUGUGAAUUGCAGAAUUCAGUGAAUCAUCGAAUCUUUGAACGCACAUUGCGCCCGCCAGUAUUCUGGCGGGCAUGCCUGUUCGAGCGUCAUUUCAACCCUCAAGCACAGCUUGGUGUUGGGACUCGCGUUAAUUCGCGUUCCCCAAAUUGAUUGGCGGUCACGUCGAGCUUCCAUAGCGUAGUAGUAAAACCCUCGUUACUGGUAAUCGUCGCGGCCCCGCCGUUAAACCCCAACUUCUGAAUGUUGACCUCGGAUCAGGUAGGAAUACCCGCUGAACUUAAGCAUAUCAAUAAGCGGAGGA
rnacentral:misc_RNA from 1 species